AUUGAACGCUGGCGGCAGGCCUAACACAUGCAAGUCGAGCGGUAACAGAUUGAUAGCUUGCUAUCAAUGCUGACGAGCGGCGGACGGGUGAGUAAUGCCUGGGAAUAUACCCUGAUGUGGGGGAUAACUAUUGGAAACGAUAGCUAAUACCGCAUAAUCUCUUGUCUUUUACGAGAUGGGAGCAAAGAGGGGGACCUUCGGGCCUCUCGCGUCAGGAUUUGCCCAGGUGGGAUUAGCUAGUUGGUGGGGUAAUGGCUCACCAAGGCGACGAUCCCUAGCUGGUCUGAGAGGAUGAUCAGCCACACUGGAACUGAGACACGGUCCAGACUCCUACGGGAGGCAGCAGUGGGGAAUAUUGCACAAUGGGGGAAACCCUGAUGCAGCCAUGCCGCGUGUAUGAAGAAGGCCUUCGGGUUGUAAAGUACUUUCAGUUGUGAGGAAGGCGUUGGAGUUAAUAGCUUCAGCGCUUGACGUUAGCAACAGAAGAAGCACCGGCUAACUCCGUG
rnacentral:rRNA from 1 species